rnacentral:rRNA from 1 species
UUGCUUGGACCGGGGAGAGUGGGGAGGUACUCGGGGGGUAGGGGUGAAAUCCUGUAAUCCUCCGGGGACCACCGGUGGCGAAGGCGUCCCACCAGAACGGGUCCGACGGUGAGGGACGAAAGCUAGGGGCACGAACCGGAUUAGAUACCCGGGUAGUCCUAGCCGUAAACGAUGCCCGCUAGGUGUCACGAUGGUCGUGAAUCAUCGUGGUGCCGUAGGGAAGCCGCGAAGCGGGCCACUUGGGAAGUACGACCGCAAGGUUGAAACUUAAAGGAAUUGGCGGGGGAGCACCACAACGGGUGGAGCCUGCGGUUUAAUUGGAUUCAACGCCGGG